rnacentral:tRNA from 1 species
GGGGGUAUAGCUCAACGGUUAGAGCAGGGGACUCAUAAUCCCUUGGUUGCAGGUUCGAGUCCUGCUGUCCCCACCU